UAAGGAAUAUUGGUCAAUGAGCGCAAGCCUGAACCAGCCAUGCCGCGUGCAGGAAGACGGCCCUAUGGGUUGUAAACUGCUUUUAUCAGGGAAUAAACCCCCGCUCGUGAGCGGGGCUGAAGGUACCUGAAGAAUAAGCAUCGGCUAACUCCGUGCCAGCAGCCGCGGUAAUACGGAGGAUGCAAGCGUUAUCCGGAUUCAUUGGGUUUAAAGGGUGCGCAGGCGGAUUGGUAAGUCAGGGGUGAAAUCCCACAGCUCAACUGUGGAACUGCCUUUGAUACUGUCAGUCUAGAGUAUAGUUGAAGUGGGCGGAAUGUGUCAUGUAGCGGUGAAAUGCUUAGAUAUGUCACAGAACACCGAUCGCGAAGGCAGCUCGCUAAGCUAUAACUGACGCUCAUGCACGAAAGCGUGGGGAUCAAACAG
rnacentral:rRNA from 1 species